UUGGAAAGAGUGACUUUGUGGUC
rnacentral:piRNA from 1 species